CCUACGGGUGGCAGCAGUGAGGAAUAUUGGUCAAUGGGCGGGAUACUGAACCAGCCAAGCCGCGUGAAGGACGACGGCUCUGCGAGUUGUAAACUGCUUUUGUCAGGGAGUAAAGUGCUGUACGCGUAGGGGUUUGAAUGUACGGUACGAAUAAGGAUCGGCUAACUCCGUGCCAGCAGCCGCGGUAAUACGGAGGAUGCGAGCGUUAUCCGGAUUUAUUGGGGUUAAAGGGUGCGUAGGUUGUUUUUUAAGUUAGCGGUGAAAUACCGAGGGCCAACACCGGGGCUGCCGUUGAUACUGUAGGUCUAGAGUUGGGAAGCAGCAGGCGGAAUGCGUGGUGUAGCGGUGAAAUGCAUAGAUAUUACGCAGAACACCGAUUGCGAAGGCAGCUUGCUGGGCCGAAUCUGACGCUGAUGCACGAAAGCGUGGGUAUCGAACAGGAUUAGAUACCCCAGUAGUC
rnacentral:rRNA from 1 species